GGCCCCGUAGCUCAGCCGGAUAGAGCGGCGGUUUCCUAAACCGCAGGUCCCGUGUUCGAGUCACGGCGGGGUCACCA
rnacentral:tRNA from 1 species